rnacentral:misc_RNA from 1 species
AACACUGUUAACCUGCGGUACCUGCGGAAGGAUCGUUACCGAGUGCGGGUCCGCGUGGCCCAACCUCCCACCCGUGCCUAUUGUACCCUGUUGCUUCGGCGGGCCCGCCAGCCUUCGGGCUGGCCGCCGGGGGGCGUCUCGCCCCCGGGCCCGUGCCCGCCGGAGACCCCAACAUGAACCCUGUUCUGAAAGCUUGGUGUCUGAGUGUGAUUGUUUGCAAUCAGUUAAAACUUUCAACAA